GAAUUUAAGCAUAUUAUUAAGCGGUGGAAAAGAAACUAACUAGGAUUCCCUUAGUAGCGGCGAGCGAAGCGGGAAGAGACCAAGAUGAAAAGCCUUUCGGGGCGUUGUAGUCUGGGCAAUCUUGAGUCAUCAGUUUGGGUAAGUCGCAUGGAAUUGCGUACCGUGGAGGGUGAGAGUCCCGUCCAGCCUAAACAGGAUGUUCUCGUACGAGAUUGUUUCAACCGAGUCGGGUAGCUUGAGAAUGCUGCUCUAACUGGUGGUAAACUUCAUCAAAGUCUAAAUACUGGUGGAAGACCGAUAGCGAACAAGUACCGUGAGGGAAAGAUGGAAAGCACUUUGAAAAGAGGGUGAAAAGCACCUGAAACCGUCAUGGGGGAAGCGGAUUGCGUAAGUGUGGUUUAGUGUCUGUUCAGCUGCGCUUUUGAUUGUUCAGCAGUGUAUUCAGGCCUAACCGUGUCAGAGUGGCUGUUCGACCUCAGAUUUAUUUUUUGUGGGGUUUGGAUGGUGAGGGCUCCCAUUUACUUGGUGAGGACUUUGACGAAAUGACGCGACCCGACCCGUCUUGAAACACGGACCAAGGAGUCUAGCACUACUGCGAGUCGAAGGGUGUGGAAACCCAUCGGGCGAAGUGAAAGCAAAAAUUUUAUGAAUGUAAAAACAGAUCUUGGAACAGAUUGGGGAGGUGUGGCGUCUUUGACAAUAUAUCCUACCCUGAGCAGUUGUGCUGGGACCCGAAAGAUGGUGAACUAUGCCGGAAUAGGGCAAAGCCAGAGGAAACUCUGGUGGAGGCUCGUAGCGAUGCUGACGUGCAAAUCGCUCGUCGAAUUUGGGUAUAGGGGCGAAAGACUAAUCGAACCAUCUAGUAGCUGGUUCCCUCCGAAGUUUCUCUCAGGAUAGCGGACCGAGAAAUUUUAUGUGAGUUGUUUUGUGUGGUAAAGCGAAUGAUUAGCGUAUUUGGGGGCGUAAUGCCUUCAGUCGAUUCUCAAACUUUAAAUACGCAAGAAAGAGGUUGGUUGCUUGAUUGAACCCCUCUCUGAAAACUUCGGUCUUGUGGGCCACUUUUGGUAAGCAGAACUGGCGAUACGGGAUGAACCGUAAGCGUGGUUAAGGCGUCAAAUUGUUCGCUUAGAGACCCCACAAAAGGUGUUGAUUCAUCUAGACAGCAGGACGGUGGCCAUGGAAGUCGGAAUCCGCUAAGGAGUGUGUAACAACUCACCUGCCGAAUGAAUUAGCCCUGAAAAUGGAUGACGCUGAAGCGUACAGCCGACACCGCGCCGUUUUGACAAAAAGCGAUCAAAAUGAGUAGGAGGGCGUGGCGGUCUUGUGAAAAAGGUCGAGACGCGAGUCUGACUGGAACGGCCGCUAGUGCAGAUCUUGGUGGUAGUAGCAAAUAUUCAAGCGAGACCCUUGAAGGGCGAAGCGGGGAAGGGUUCCACGCGAACAUUGAUUGGGCGUGGGUGAGUCGUUCCUAAGCCGGGUGGUAAUCGUUCUUCGAAGCGGCGAAAGGGAAGCGGGUUAAAAUUCCUGCACACGGAUGUGGAGGCGGCAACGCAAAUUGAGUUGGAGACAUCAGCGGUAGCGCUAGGCAGAGUUUUCUUUUCUGUUUGACCUGUGAGUUGCACUGUGUGGAAUCCGAUUAUCGGGAGAAACACGCGCCGAAGGGCAGAGCGUCGGGGCGUCCCCGGCGUCUAGCACGCUACCGAGGGUCCUUGAAAAUCUAACUGCAACAUAAUUUCACGCCGUGGCGUACCGAUAACCGCAUCAGGUCCCCAAGGUGAACAGCCUCUGUCCAAUAUGAACAAUGCAGGUAAGGGAAGUCGGCAAAAUAGACCCGUAACUUUGGGAAAAGGGUUGGCUCUAGUGGAGUGGGGGAUUUUCAAAUGGGUGUUGGUGCUCUGAGCUAUUGUAGGUCCGGAUGUGGCUAGUCUGUGCAAACGGUAUUGGCUGUGUCUGACUCGCUUUGGUUCUGGGGUGUUAGUGUCCGCCUUCAGCAUGCUCCAGACUAGAACUGCAACGGGCAAAGGGAAUCCGACUGUUUAAUUAAAACAAAGCAUUGCGAUGGCCGAGGUCGGUGUAGACGCAAUGUGAUUUCUGCUCAGUGCUCUGAAUGUCAAAGUGAAGAAAUUCAAACAAGCGCGGGUAAACAGCGGGAGUAACUAUGACUCUCUUAAGGUAGCCAAAUGCCUCGUCAUCUAAUUAGUGACGCGCAUGAAUGGAUUAACGAGAUUCCUACUGUCCCUAUCUGCUUCUAGCGAAACCACAGCCGAGGGAACGGGCUCGGCGAAAUCGGCGGGGAAAGAAGACCCUGUUGAGCUUGACUCUAUUCUAAUUUUGUGACGCAAGUUAGGAGGUGUAGCAUAGGUGGGAGCUUUCGGGCGACAAUGAAAUACCACUACUCUUAAUCUUGUUUUACUUAUGGCGUUAGACUGCACGACCAUCUUUGGUCUUUUUUGGCACCAACCUGGAUCCAUGGCGUCUUUGGUCUUUACGGGCUUUGGGCGUCACCGGGGAGCAGCGCGCCUGACACAUUUAGGAGGGGAGUUUGGCUGGGGCGGCACAUCUUCUACAAGACAACGAAGGUGUCCAAAGAUGAGCUCAGUGAGAACAGAAAUCUCACGUAGCGCAAAAGGGUAAAAGCUUGUUUGAUUUUGAUUUUCAGUGUGAGUUGAAAACACGAAAGUGUGGCCUAUCGAUCCUUUCAUGAUUCGAGGUUUGAAGCGAGAGGUGUCAGAAAAGUUACCACAGGGAUAACUGGCUUGUGGCGGCCAAGCGUUCAUAGCGACGUCGCUUUUUGAUCCUUCGAUGUCGG
rnacentral:rRNA from 1 species